rnacentral:rRNA from 1 species
UACGGGGGGGGCAAGCGUUGUUCGGAAUUACUGGGCGUAAAGGGUUCGUAGGUGGCCAACUUAGUCAGACGUGAAAUCCCUCAGCUUAACUGGGGAACUGCGUCUGAUACUGGAUGGCUCGAGUGCAGGAGAGGAACGCGGAAUUCCAGGUGUAGCGGUGAAAUGCGUAGAUAUCUGGAGGAACACCGGUGGCGAAGGCGGCGUUCUGGACUGCAACUGACACUGAGGAACGAAAGCCAGGGGAGCAAACGGG